UACGAAGGGUGCAAGCGUUACUCGGAAUUACUGGGCGUAAAGCGUGCGUAGGUGGUGAGUUAAGUCUGAUGUGAAAUCCCCGGGCUCAACCUGGGAAUGGCAUUGGAUACUGGCUCGCUAGAGUGCGGUAGAGGGUGGUGGAAUUCCCGGUGGAGCGGUGAAAUGCGUAGAGAUCGGAAAGAACACCAACGGCGAAAGCACUCUGCUGGGCCGACACUGACACUGAGAGACGAAAGCUAGGGGAGCGAAUGGG
rnacentral:rRNA from 1 species